rnacentral:lncRNA from 1 species
GUAGUAGCAUUUGACGCACGGAGAAUUUAAAGUUGUUUGGGCGAUGCGGUGGAAAUUUGUCAAGGAUUGGUUUAGGCGUCUCCUGGGGGGGUUCACUCAUAUUGACUUGCGCGUAACCAAGUUUUUGGCCUGAGGGUUUCGCCACCUUGCUUCGCCCACGCGAAACAGACAUCAAUAUGACGAGUACCGGACAGUUUUCAGUUAAGUCAAGUGAUUUAAUGCACAGAAUAUCGCCUGGACGGCUGGGAGACUUUAUGGCGUUGUUUCCAAUUUCAAGGUUACGAGUGACAAGGCGUCUAAUCGAUGUAAUCGAUAGCAUUGAUGUAAACAACUUUAGUGCCGGCAUUGUUUCUUGCUUUCUACAAGUGUUUUAUGAAAUUUAUUAAAAAAUGAGUUCAAUUCUUCAACGUUGCUGUGUACCUCAGUGCGAUGAUACAUCUUCAAAGCGGUGUGCACUUCCUAGAAAUGAAAAGUUGAGAAGCAUUUGGAUCAGGCGGACUGGAUGUGAACAUUUAUUGGCAAAAUGGAAAUUUCGUAGAAGAUUUGUGUCCAGACAUUUUCACGAUGUGUGUUUCAAGACAAACUGGAGACUAUUACUAAAUUGUCUCCCAACAAAAUAUUUUUCAGGUGCCGUUUCCAAGGAGAAUAGCUUCUAUCGAGAGGAUGUAUCAUAUCCUAAGGGAUGAGGGAACCCGUGAAAAAGAUUUCG